CCAGCUCUUGCCAGGUGGCGUUAAUAUCUCGCUGGGGCCUCCAUUAUGUUGUACCCAGGCAAGUUAGAGAAAACACCACACUUUGAGAUGAAUUAAGAGUCCUUCAUUAG
rnacentral:pre_miRNA from 13 species